rnacentral:rRNA from 1 species
UACGUAGGUGGCAAGCGUUGUCCGGAUUUACUGGGCGUAAAGAGCGCGCAGGCGGUUGAUUAAGUCGAAUGUGAAAGCCCCCGGCUCAACUGGGGAGGGUCAUUCGAUACUGAUCAACUUGAAGGCAGGAGAGGGAAGUGGAAUUCCGGGUGUAGUGGUGAAAUGCGUAGAUAUCCGGAGGAACACCAGUGGCGAAGGCGACUUCCUGGCCUGUUCUUGACGCUGAGGCGCGAAAGCUGGGGGAGCAAUCGGG